rnacentral:rRNA from 1 species
AAUGUUGGACAAUGGGGGGAACCCUGAUCCAGCCAUGCCGCGUGUGUGAAGAAGGUCUUCGGCUUGUAAAGCACUUUAAGUUGGGAGGAAUAGUUGUAGGCUAAUACCUUGCAAUUUUGACGUUACCAACAGAAUAAGCACCGGCUAACUUCGUUCUAGCAGCCGCGGUAAUACGAAGGGUGCAAGCGUUAAGCGGAAUUACUUGGCGUAAAGCGCGCGUAGGUGGUUCGUUAAGUUGGAAGUGAAAGCCCCGGGCUUAACCUGGGAAUUGCUUUCAAAACUGACGAGCUAGAGUACGGUAGAGGGUAGUGGAAUUUCCUGUGUAGCGGUGAAAUGCGUAGAUAUAGGAAGGAACAUCAGUGGCGAAGGCGACUACCUGGACUGCAACUGACGCUGAGGCACGAAAGCGUGGGGAGCGAACAGG